rnacentral:rRNA from 1 species
GAUCCCUGAAAGAUGAUCAGGUUGAUAGGUUCGAGGUGGAAGCGUGGUGACACGUGGAGCUGACGAAUACUAAUAGAUCGAGGACUUAACCAA